rnacentral:rRNA from 1 species
GUACACGCUGUGACUAGCAUAUCAAUAAGCGGAGGAAAAGAAACUAACAAGGAUUCCCCUAGUAACGGCGAGUGAAGCGGGAAGAGCUCAAAUUUGAAAUCUUAAAGGGUUUCCCUUUACGGAAUUGUAGUUUAAAGAAGUGUUUUCUGUUGAGGUUUUGGUAAAAGUUCUUUGGAAUAGGACAUCAUAGAGGGUGAGAAUCCCGUAUUUGACCUUUACUUUCAACUUUGUGAUACACUUUCAAAGAGUCGGAUUGUUUGGGAAUGCAGUCCAAAAUGGGUGGUAAAUUUCAUCUAAAGCUAAAUAUUGGCGAGAGACCGAUAGCGAACAAGUACCGUGAGGGAAAGAUGAAAAGAACUUUGAAAAGAGAGUUAAACAGUACGUGAAAUUGUCAAAAGGGAAGCGUUUGACACCAGUGUUGUUUUUCUGAAAAUCAAUUAAAGAACUGUUUAUGCCUAAGUUGUUUAGACUUUAUCAGCUAACUGUUUAGUUUUGAGCUUUUCUUUAAUGCACUUUUCAGUUAACAAGUCAACAUCAAUUUCUUUUGCUGUAAAAAAGCUUGAGGAAGGUGGCUUGAGAUUCGUCUUAAGUGUUUAUAGCCUCUUGCCUAUGCAGUCGGAGAGAUUGAGGUCUGCAGCGUAGAUCCUUCGGGGCUAAAUGCAUUUGUGCUAAGUUAUAGCAUUUUAUAGACAACUUGUUGACUAUGAUUUGUCUUGUAGCUUACUCGCUUAUGUUAUUUUACCUACGCUUAGGAUGUUGAAGAUGUAGCACAUCAU